CUGUCUUAGGCUCUGAGUGAUACCUCUAUUUUAUUAUAAUAAAUUUCCCUUUAGUCCCUAAACUAGAUUGAAAGCAUAUUUUUCACUUAUUGCCCACGGGUUAUUGAAGACACAGUGAUAAUGAGAAUCAGAAUGAAUUUCAGAGAAAGAGGGAAACCUGCAUAUUUGUUUGAACAUUAGCCUUGAGAAGUGCAAAGACACCUAGUCAUGUCUGAAUGUUUGUAUUAAUUAUUAAAUAACACUGGUACUUUGGAAUAAAGACUGAUCGUACUUCAGGCCACCAUGAAUAUUGCUGAGUGAUUUUCUGAAACUGGAAUUCUUCUUAACUGUGUACACAUAUUUUCGAGCAUAUCCUGGCAUGGAAUCAGUACCUUCAAAAUGGUUCAGAAUGUACAGAUCUCAACACCGGAUGAAGGAUAACAUUACACCAGUAUUAUGAAGAAAUUAUGUUGAAAUCAUAUUGAAAUUCUAUUGAAUGUGAAUAUGGUACUUGUAUACCAUCUCUGAAGGCAUGCAUUGGAAUGCAGACUAUCUAGACACAAAUCUCCUAGGUAUUUAAGCAAAAUAUGAAUACAGAGAAAACAGGAAUUACUCAGAG
rnacentral:lncRNA from 1 species